GGCGACAUAGCCAAGUGGUAAGGCGUGGGACUGCAACUCCCUGAUCGCUGGUUCGAAUCCUGCUGUCGCCUCUA
rnacentral:tRNA from 1 species